rnacentral:lncRNA from 1 species
CACCCUCUUCUACCCAUUGUAUUCUUGAUCGAAUUAUCUUCCCUUUAAUUUUUUCUUUUCUUAUAUUUUCUAAUUCACAUUUUUUAUUUUCCAAAAUCUGUAUUGAACCUUCAUCUACCUUUUCUUCCAAAAUAAGAAUUUCAUUUCUAAGAUCUUUCUCUUGUUUUUCUUUUACCUUUUUCUUAUAACUUGAAUAAGAUAUAGUUUUACCUCUAAUUUCCAUCAACAUUGUCUCAAGAAAUAAGUGACUAUUAAUAUUAAAAUGGAGAUCUUCAUUAUUCAUGUCUUCAAUUCUAUCUAUAUCAUAAAUUACAUAUUGUUUUUUAACUUCUACUAUUUUUUCUUUAACAAUCUUUAUAUAUUCUGGAUCAUACAAUAAUGAAUUAUUAAAUUUCCACAAUCCUCUACCUCGAUCAAAAGGAUUAAAUUCUAGAUUUAAUACAACCAUAGAAUGAUCAGAGCAAUAGCUAGGCUCGAUAUUACAAUUUUUCAAACAGCAUAGUAAAUCUUCAGAUAAAAGAAAAAAAUCUAGCCUUGCUUGUUUAAAGGGGGUUCUUUUUCUCCAUGUGAAACGCUUCAAAUCUGGGUAAAGUUCACGGAAAGGGUCAAUGAGACACCUUUCCUGAAUGAUUUCUAAAACUUUCUCCCGAGCAUUUGGGUUAUUUACAUGUAAAUAAUUAUAAUAGUCUAUAUCAGGGUUGAGAACAAGAUUAAAAUCACCACAUAUCAUAUAGCUAUCAUUACCAAAAUCAUC